AAUUCAUUUAGAGUUUCGGGUAGUAGUUGGUCCAAAGAUGAAGCCUUUACAAGAUAUCCGAAGUCAUAUACGCUGCCGAAGGCGAUCCAGUCUGCGGUGGUGGAGCAGCAUGGACAAUGACGUACGAGACCAGCACUGUGACAGCACGCAGCAAAGCGACCGGGGUCGAUCCCCUUGAGAAAUAGCAUUCCGAAAUCGAUUCCAUCCGAAUUGUAAUCGAAUUUGUCUCGACAGACGUCAAAGUCGCAGAAAUUGAACUCCCAGAUGAAAGCCUCUCCAACGCCGCCGGGAAGAUUGCCAUCGGCGUCGAAGAGGGUGAGACCGAGUUGGGUCAACUUCGACCGUUCUACGUUGGCCUUCAAGAAAGCGUAGCGCUCGUCCGCAGAGAGAAGGUAGUGCGGCUUCUGCGGGAGGAGGGUGCAUCUCGGGAACUCGGUGUCGAAAGACACCAUGGGAAAUCGAGGGAGCACUUGGGCGAUGAUGGAGAACUCAAGGUCCAAAUUUGAAGCCCAUACUCGUCGAACCCUGACCGGUCGCGGCUGCCCCCGAGGACGAAGAAAAGUCGCCAGCGGCUGCUGCUCCUGAGGAUGAAGAAGAUCGACCGGAUGCAGCUGCUGAGAGGUUGCCAUUGCUGAUCGCAACGGCGCAGAAAACAACAAGAAUCACCGAAUCGCCGAAUCGCCAGAGCGCAGAAAAGAAAACAGAGGAAAGAGUGAUAAAUGGCCGGACUCCGGCUAGGGGCAUAUAUUUAUACGUUGAAAGCAAGCAAUUCAUUUGAAAUGCUGCGGCGCUGCGACUCCGGCUAGGUUUUCUAUCACCGCCGCCAAUUACGAUUUUUCAAGACACCGACUGACUCCGGCUAGGUUUUCGAUCACCGCCGCCAAUUACAAGAGACCAUGGGAAAGUGCAAGCAGAGAGAUCAUACGGGUUUUCUCAUAGGAACUACAGCUUGGGUGCGACGCUCCAGAGGCCUACAAUGAAGAUGGGGCAAAGGAUACCAGCAACAGGGAGGCACUCUCAUAUGGCAGAAAUCCACGAUCAUGCAUCUCAUCCACUCAUGGCAGAUGCUCAAAGAAGAACUAUUUCAUCUGGAAAUUCUCAAGAUUAUAUCCAUUCCCUUGAGCGAAGUAACCAGCAGAAUCAGGCACUCUCUCAGAGCUUGCUUUCGGUAGCUUUCCGCCUAAUUAUGUAGAAAAGGAUACUGAGGAACUUUAUCAGGAUUCAGAGCAUGAAACUGUUGAAGAACUAACUAGCAUGCAGAAGCUGGAGAUCGAGGACAAUUACUCUGAAAGAAAAACUCCAGGUGAAGAGGAAUCAUUGGUGUCUGCCGAAGUAAAAAAAGAUGGUGGCGCCUACUAGCAUUUCAAGUUCGAAGGAUGUAAGGUUAGACUUGUACAGAGGAAAUCAUGUCUCAAGUCAGAGAAUGAGGAUUCAAAAAAGGGUAAUUCAAUGCCGCCCCAACAUUGAUUCAAUGACUCCAAGUUUUAUUUCAAUUUUUGAGUCUGGUACCGACAGAGGAAGACAAGGCCAAAUAGAAACAGUUAUUCCUGUCUCUAGAGAAUUUGGUGUACAGAGAAUGGCCAGAUGCUAAGCUGCAUCUUUAUGGAUCAUGCACCAACACUUUUGGUGUCUCAAAAAGUGACAUUGAUGUUUGCCUUGCAAUCAAUGAUUGAGGCUUGAACAAAUCUGAUAUUGUGUUGAAGUUGGCUGAAAUCCUACAGUCCGGUAAUUUUCAAAUUGUCCAGGUAACCGGCAUGUAUUCUCUCAUACAUCUUUAUGGAUCAUGCACCAACACUUUUGGUGUCUCAAAAAGUGACAUUGAUGUUUGCCUUGCAAUCAAUGAUUGAGGCUUGAACAAAUCUGAUAUUGUGUUGAAGUUGGCUGAAAUUCUACAGUCUGGUAAUUUUCAAAUUGUCCAGGCACUAACUCGUGCUAGGGUUCCUAUAGUGAAGUUAAUGGAUCCAGUUACUGGUCUUUCAUGUGAUAUUUGUGUCAAUAACCUUUUGGCAGUUGUUAACACCAAGCUCCUGAAAGAUUAUGCACAGAUUGAUGAAAGAUUACGACAAUUGGCUUUUAUUGUUAAACACUUGGCUAAAUCUCAUCGUGUCAAUGAAACAUAUCAAGGGACACUUUCUAGCUACGCGUAGUGGUAAUGUGCAUCCCUUUCUGCAACUACGAUGACCUGCAAUUCUUCCUUGUUUGCAGGUACGUGCUAAUGUGCAUCCCUUUCUGUAACUACGAUGACCUGCAAUUCUUCCUUGUUUGCGCGCGCGCGCACGAAUUUCACCAAUACAAAAUAUAUCUUUGAUUUUUUAGUCACCUUCCUUGUUUGAUUCCAGGGCAUACAGGUCGAUAUGAACUUGUAGAAUACUAGUAACUGCUCUUACACUACUAAGCAUUUUUGGAUGUGCCUCAUAUUUAAAGAAUAAACCAGUUGGUAGAUUGUUUGACGAAAUAUCUAAUCUACUUGAUGUUGGCUUCUGAUUGAGUAGUUUGGGCUAAUUCUUAAUGCAACCGAUACUCUAUUCACUAGAUAUGGUUUUCCUAACUUUAGUUGGACACGGAUGGAGAAAUCCUUAAAGAGCCAACCUAUUCGAAUUAAUUGUGUUAUCAAGUUGAGAUUAUGCUGCCCUGGACUACAUUUACAAAAAAAAAUUCUCAUAAGAUUAGCACUCUCUCCAGCAAAGGCCGCGGACAAGAUACCACUUACAAAAAAAAAACAUUUUAUCUUUUAUUAUUUAAGAAAAAUCAUCAUUGUUAACAUGAUCUUAAAGUCUUUUGGAUGUAAUUAUCGCAUAAUUUUGUUUCACUGAAAUCUUGAUAUUUAUGUUUGUUAAGUUGUGUGGUUGAAGAUCGACUUUGAUUGUUCUUUCUGUGGAGAAUACCAAAUGCACCUUCUUCGAUCAAAUGGAAAUGCUCCGCGACUUUGGCAUCGGAAACAAGGAAAGCAUUGCAAGAUUGCUAUGGGCAUUUUUCCAUUACUGGGCAUAUCAUCAUGAUUAUACGAAUGAUGUUAUAUCUAUUCGCACAGGGAGCAUCAUCAGCAAUAAAAGGACUGGACGCGGCGAAUUGGAAAUGACCGUCACCAAAUAUGCAUCGAGGACCCGUUCAAUAUCUCGCACGACCUUGGUCGGGUAGUCGACAAGUACAGCAUUAAAAUCCUAAGGGAAGAGUUUGAACGAGCUGCCGAGUCCCACCGUCACCCUUUUCCAGCCUUAUGAACCAGGAUCGCCGCAGAGACAAAUUGACAGGAGCUAGGUGAAUGCUAUUCAACACUGAAUGCUAAAUAUGUAUAUUCCUCUCUGAGAAGCAGUGUUCUUUCAGCUCCUUUGUGUAUAGAUUGUACUGUGUUAUGGAUGAUUCCUAUUUUUUAA